rnacentral:rRNA from 1 species
UACGGGGGGUGCAAGCGUUGUCCGGAUUUAUUGGGUUUAGAGGGUGCGUAGGCGGCUUAUUAAGUCAGGGGUGAAAGACGGUGGCUCAACCAUCGCAGUGCCUUUGAUACUGAUGAGCUUGAAUACACUAGAGGUAGGCGGAAUGUGACAAGUAGCGGUGAAAUGCAUAGAUAUGUCACAGAACACCGAUUGCGAAGGCAGCUUACUAUGGUGUGAUUGACGCUGAGGCACGAAAGCGUGGGGAUCAAACAGG